rnacentral:rRNA from 1 species
GAUGAACGCUGGCGGCGUGCCUAAUACAUGCAAGUCGAGCGAACAGACGAGGAGCUUGCUCCUCGGACGUUAGCGGCGGACGGGUGAGUAACACGUGGAUAACCUACCUAUAAGACUGGGAUAACUUCGGGAAACCGGAGCUAAUACCGGAUAAUAUAUUGAACCGCAUGGGUCAAUAGUGAAAGACGGUUUUGCUGUCACUUAUAGAUGGAUCCGCGCCGCAUUAGCUAGUUGGUAAGGUAACGGCUUACCAAGGCGACGAUGCGUAGCCGACCUGAGAGGGUGAUCGGCCACACUGGAACUGAGACACGGUCCAGACUCCUACGGGAGGCAGCAGUAGGGAAUCUUCCGCAAUGGGCGAAAGCCUGACGGAGCAACGCCGCGUGAGUGAUGAAGGUCUUCGGAUCGUAAAACUCUGUUAUUAGGGAAGAACAAAUGUGUAAGUAACUAUGCACGUCUUGACGGUACCUAAUCAGAAAGCCACGGCUAACUACGUG